GUGACGGCCCACCGUGCCGACAACGGGUAGCCGGGUUGAGAGACCGACCGGCCAGAUUGGGACUGAGACACGGCCCAGACUCCUACGGGAGGCAGCAGUGGGGAAUCUUGCGCAAUGGGGGGAACCCUGACGCAGCGACGCCGCGUGCGGGACGGAGGCCUUCGGGUCGUAAACCGCUUUCAGCAGGGAAGAGUCAAGACUGUACCUGCAGAAGAAGCCCCGGCUAACUACGUGCCAGCAGCCGCGGUAAUACGUAGGGGGCGAGCGUUAUCCGGAUUCAUUGGGCGUAAAGCGCGCGUAGGCGGCCCGGCAGGCCGGGGGUCGAAGCGGGGGGCUCAACCCCCCGAAGCCCCCGGAACCUCCGCGGCUUGGGUCCGGUAGGGGAGGGUGGAACACCCGGUGUAGCGGUGGAAUGCGCAGAUAUCGGGUGGAACACCGGUGGCGAAGGCGGCCCUCUGGGCCGAGACCGACGCUGAGGCGCGAAAGCUGGGGGAGCGAACAGGAUUAGAUACCCUGGUAGUCCCAGCCGUAAACGA
rnacentral:rRNA from 1 species